rnacentral:lncRNA from 1 species
AUGUACUCUUUCUGGAGCAUGUCUACAAGCUCUACAUGGAAACGAUCUGAAGCUGAAAACAUUGGCAGGGGAUGCAAAAACCAGUCUUUGAUGAACUAUGCCAAAGAAACAGCUGCCUUCUAUUCCCAAAAAUGCUUUGCCCAUAACUAAGCCUACGGAGCCUGUCCCAGCAGCACAGUCAACAAAUGGCAUGCAUGCUUCCUACAGACUCGUCCACCUGAAAUACUCUCUUCUUGCUGAAUUUACCUUGGUUGCGGAGCAGACGUUAUUAGGUGUCUAUGUGCAGCCAUCUUAUCCCUCUGUAUUAAAGUGGUUUGGACUAAUAUUCAUAGGGCACAGACUUUAUCAAGAUGGCAUAUUUAGGAGAUGGUGUAUUUAAGUUUGCAGUUUACAUCCAUCCCUAAUUACUAUCCAGAUGGUGACUAUCCAUGCUUGAUAUUUGGUAUUCCCAUCUUUCACCUACUAGGUGAUGCCACCUCAGAUGAACUGGAUGUGAAGAGCAUUUGGAAAAUGGAGGUGGAAUCAUAACCAAAUUUGGCAAGUACUAACAAUAUGCAGGGAGAGUUUUCUACAAGAUUGAUACAAAAAGCCCCCUAAACCCAGAGGCUGCAAUACUGUAUGAGAAAGAUGUUCAGCUUUUUAAGAGUAAAGUGGUUGACAGUGUUAAGGUAUGUAUUACUCGUCUGUCUGACCAAUUUAAAAUAGAAGACUCAUGCAAUUAGCUUUUCUCCAUGGAAUCCUUCUGUACAUGAUGAAGCCAGAGAAAAGAUGCUGACUCAGAAAAGCCUGAAGAACAGCACAAUAAGUGUACGUGUCGCCGGCCUGUCAUAGGUAAAGCCUGGCUCAGUACAAUCUUUCAGUAAAGAAGAGAAAACAGUAGCAAC